AUCAUCUUUGACACCCUACACAAAUCUACGACCGUUGUUGACAACUUUUCCAGCAAACCCUGAAAUCAGACCAUCGCCGUGAGGUAGCCAGUCUGCAACUCAGUGGUGUGCUGAUCCCCAGCCAGCUCCCCAGCUGAUCUCCAUCUCUACCUCUAUCUCGUAUUCUAUCUUUAUCUCUCCCCUCUAUUA